rnacentral:lncRNA from 1 species
AAUCGGAGAGGACUCGGGAAACCAAAUCGACAUAUUUCGUGGAGUCCGUAUUUGUCUUGGAAAGGGAAAGAAUGGGAACCGGUUCCCUCUGAGUACACUGAGAAUCUUGAGGUUCCUAAAACAGAGAUUGAUAUAAUUUAAUUCCCCCCGAAUUUUCAUAAAGCGGUUUACAUUCAUAGACCGGUCUGCAAACCGGUUUUGGCAGAUCUGGAACCGGUUUAGAACCAGUUGGGGAUACAGUAGAGGAGGGUUCCAAAAUCCAAACUCCAUCAGCCAUGAGUUUCUUGGGUACACGUGGCUCUAAGUGAGUUUG